CUCAGGAUCCCUGCCAGAGGCUACAUCGUCUCCUGCUCAAAGACUGACUUGCUGAUGCGUUUCAUAUGAAACAAAGAAAAGACGGGGGCAGAGCAAACGGGGAAGGGGAGCAGCACAGCUGUGGAGACUUAAAAGUGCAACCCAAGAACUAAGGAAGCGAACGCCGUCUGCUCACAGGAAGCAGGAAAGGGACCAGAAGUGGGGAGAAGAAGUAAAAAGGAGAGAGCAGAGGCCCAGGAGAGAUUGGAUCCAAUGUCCCAACGGAGGCUCUGGGCAGGAGAGAAUCCAGCUUUCCCUUUGCAAAAGCUGGAAGGUACAGCAAGAAGCCAGCCAUCUGCACACCAAAAAGAGGGCUCCCACCAGAUACUGAAACUGCAAGCCCCCGAUCUUGGACUUCUCAGCCUCCAUAACUGUGAGAAAUAAAAGUCUGUUGUUUAAACAACCCCUAAGCCUAUGGUUACAGUAGCUUCUGACUAAAACAGAAGCCUUGGUCAUCUGUGGAGGGAAGGGUGGCCAUCGCUGAGGAGGGGCCAGGGGUAUAGCAGUGAAGGUUAAAGACUGCAGCUGGGAGAAUCAGGGGAAGAAAGGAUGCUGAUCAAGGGCUGUGGCUGUGCUGAGAACCCGGCAGAGGUCAGAGGACAAAGGCUCCAAAACACGUGCAAGAUGUGCUAGAAGGAAAUGCGUGAGGUUCAGAGAAAGAAGAAAAGUUUUUGGAGGAGAUAUCUAACUUCACAAAAAUAAAUCUUUUUUAUGGCACAGAGAAGAUUUUCUCUCUGAAGUUCCCAUGAGCAGUGUUAUUUAUCUAUGAAGAAGUCUCCUCCCACAAAGCAGCAGCAGUGAGCUCGUGGUACAGCCUGGCUUCCAGAGCACAGAGGCUGGAUUUUCAUCGACAUUCUUAGGCAGACUUCACAAGACUUUGAAGUGGCCGCUGUACGAAACGGGAGCAAGAAUAUCCAGUUUCCCAACUCGAGGCAAGGAAACGAAGGAUCUGAAGGGUUAAAUGACUCACUUCAGAUCAAACAGCUGUUGGAGGAGAAAUUCAGACGAAAAAGUCAAGUCUUCAGAGUCCUCUCAGGGUAGAAGGUUUAUUCUCUGAGCCCAUGUUGGAGGGAACCUAGGGCAUCAUCAAAAGCAGCUACACCAGUGUAGUCAUUCAUGGAACUCUUAAAGGUCAAGGUUUCGUCGCUGUUCAGGUACAAGAGUGAUGCCUGCAGGACAGUCCUUUGCAUGCGAACCCUGCCGGGUUCCAGGAAAUGCUCCUGGCUGUGCUCUGUGGCCGGGUGUCCCACGCUGACAGCUUGGUGCAGGCACCCUUCUUAGGGGCACGCUGUCAGUCUGGGCUUUUGUCCUGGUUGGCUCCUGGUUUUUUUAAUGCUGCUGGAAGUGCCACUCCUAUGAACGUGCUCCGCAGAGGCCACUUUGGCUUGCUGCCACCUGCCCUCACUGGAUUAAGAAGCGUGGAUCCAUUGCUAUUAUGGAGCCUGAAGCAGAGCCAAGAAGAAAUCUCAAAGGGCCCUCUCCCCAGACACGUGUGAGUAGAAUAAAAAUGAGACACAAAUGACGGCACAAAGCCUCCAGCACUCUUGGGGCAAAGUAGGGGGUGGGGUGCUGUGUUGUAGGCUAGGAGGAUGUUCUAGUUAUUGGGAAAGAAAUGAAAUUAAAGCAUGUUUUCCUUUACAGAUGAAGAUCCUUCAGACCUAUUAUCAACAGGGUGGCUCUUUUUCUGUUGUUUAUCCUCAGAGAGGGAACUGGAACUAUUAAAACAAAGGCACACAUUCAAGGCUGGGCAGGGCUGAGUGGAGAAGUGUCUCCAUGACUUUCUAGUUAUCCAGAGUCCCCAUCCUGAUGAUCAGAUAACAGAGGAAGCAAUUGAAUAUACUCAUUUAUACUAAAGUGUUAAAGACUUGAUGUGUUACUUCUCCCAGAGGCACCUACGCUCCAGAGGUAAUUACUUUCUAGAGGCCAGUGGAGGGCAAAGAAUAUUUAACAUAAAUGAAUAUACAGAACUAAUGGUAGAAAUUCAGGCACCAGCACUUUCAACUCACCCUACCCAGGAAACCAUCUCUUAAUACAAGAGUGGAUCUAAAUAUAUCUGUCUGAUGCGGUGACAAGAAAAAAAGGGAGUGUCAUGCGCAGCAAACCUAGAAGGGUAAGUCAUGACGUCUGCUAUUUUCCCUUCCUCCUUCCUUUACCAAUCAUUCUAGCCCUCAGAAUGUUUCCUGCAAUUUCAUGCGUCCAGUGCCUUUUUGCCCCUGUGACUAAACCAGUUCUGAAGAAUCAGCAAAGCCUGUCACAUGUUUUAUUAGCCAAGAUAGACUCAGUGCUGAGUUCAGUGCAAAAUAAAAUUAGAGGUCAAAAACAAUGCCAUGGAACAGAAUAAAAUAGAAACAAACAAACAAACCCCAGGAGGAAAUGUCAGGCCCCGCAAGAACUAUACAAAUAGCACGCAAAGGAGAGAGAAUCAUUACUGUUUUUAAUGAGAAAGAAGGACACUUAAGCUAAUGAUGCUUGAUUAUUUUUCCUUUUUACUAUGAGAGUAAGAAGAGAAAAAAAUCCAUUUGGUCGUAUCAGGGUCAGAGAAUUUACCAGAUAUUCGCCCACCAACAGCCUCUCAGUGCCUCUCGGUCAUUCCUUCGGUUGCCUGCACCAUCGCCUUUUGCUUUGGCUCUCUCUGCUUUGGCUCCAGCAAGACACUAUCAUGCGAUUCUACUUCAUUGUGGUGCCAGGGCAGGAGGAGUGGUCCAUCCCAGGAGCAGGCCCUUGAGAGGUGCACAGCCUGGAGAAGACUUAAAGACAAUCAUAAAACCAGCAAAAAAGCCAGUCUGCUUUCUAUUAUUGCCAUGGCAAGCUAUUCUAAACAAUGUCAGUAAUAAACUGCUCUCUCCCCAACCAAAAAAAAAAAAAAAAAAAAACUUUCCUUAGUCUAGGUUCCAAACAAUUGCUGCAAUUGAGUUUUAACAACAUAAAUGUAAGCUUCAGUUUAGCACAUUUUUUAUUGCUUCUCCUUUAGUAAACGGCCUACAUGGAAGUUGAUUUGGAGGAUUAACUGUGCAUUUAUUUUGAGAGUAAGUGCAUAAGAAAGUUUGCUUUGGGCACAAGUGUCCUUCCUCUCUGGUCCUUCAAAUCCCAGUAUUCAAACAAUUAAUUCGAAAUAAACAAUGAUAGCACAGUGAUUGUAAAGACAACUGAACUAGAGUUAUUUCAAUACCAUCAUUCUGUGUGACCACUUAAGGUUUUUAGUUGUGUUUAAAGUUUCUGGGAUUUAUUAUCAAAUAGGAUUUUCAUGCAUCCCUGCCAAAUGUGUCCUCAAGUUGAAGACUUUUCCUAUUUACUUAAACCGUUGCUUCAUGUGAAAGAAAUCUCCCAGAAUUAAAAUUAAUGAAAAGUGUUCUUUGACCAAAGAUGGAUCGAUGUGUCAGGAAUAUGGGAAGAGUAACAAGUUUGAUGAAGUCAUUGACAAAUUUGCAGAAGUUAAUUGCAAAAACAGAAACUGUAAAAUUACUCUUCAUGACUGUAAAAGACCAAUAGGUAGGUCUAAGUUUUCAUCUCUUUCUUCAAAAUAACAUUAAUGAAAUUGAAAGUAUUACUUAUAACCCUUCCUUCUUUUAGAUUGUGACAGCUAUUGUAUUUUUAUUUUUUUGUUGAUAUGAUACAAAGUUUCAUAAAAGAAAAUACAUUUUCUGGGGCUUAUUAUUGGUUUCAUUGCAUGAUUAUUACUAAAAAUAAUUCUGUCAUAUAGAAAGAAGGUGCACUCUGGGUGUCAAAUAUUAGCCCUAGCACCUCAACCUGUUACCCAUUCUGUUUAGGGGCUCCCUGAUUCUCUCCUUCCCACCCAGCCUCAUUCCCACCCCUGCCUCCAACACCCCCACCCAUCACGCCAAGAAAAGUAGAUCAGAUGUACUUAAAAUCAUUCAUCCGUCCUCCCAGGUUCUUUCAUCUUUCUCCUACUUUUUCAUGUAAAGAAGGGAGUUAGGUUACAAAAGUAGGAUUAAAACUCAUUCCUCUACCCUUUCUUCCCGGUUGUUGCGAGCAGAGAUGAACUGAAGACUGACCCUCCAGGAGCCACCUACCCACAUCUACCACCUCUUCUAAUAAGUGCCUUGAACACAUUAGUUCCCUGGAAAGGAAGAAGGACUGCUGGGCUGAGGGUGUGGCCACAGCAGGAGUGAAGAGUAGGGGUGAGCUGGCCCAGAGCCUGAGUGAUGCCCGAGGGACACUUCCAGGCCCCGGGGAAACAUUUCCCUGCAUCUUUUGCCCUGCAUCCAAAUGCCAUCACGGAUAGUGGGUAUUGCUGCUGUGGACUUCAGAGAUGGAUACUGCUUCAGAGGGUGGAUAGGAGUUGAGUAGCUAAAGCACUUAGAAAGCCUGGUUUCAUGCACUUAUGCGUGCCGCAACAUUUGAUACAACUGAAACUUG